rnacentral:rRNA from 1 species
AGUCGAGGGGUAUGGCAGCAAUGCCAGAGACCGGCGCACGGGUGCGUAACGCGUAUGCAAUCUACCUUUUACAGGGGAAUAGCCCAGAGAAAUUUGGAUUAAUGCCCCAUAGCAUAUAGAGAUCGCAUGGUUUUUAUAUUAAAGUUCCAACGGUAAAAGAUGAGCAUGCGUCCCAUUAGUUAGUUGGUAAGGUAACGGCUUACCAAGACGAUGAUGGGUAGGGGUCCUGAGAGGGAGAUCCCCCACACUGGUACUGAGACACGGACCAGACUCCUACGGGAGGCAGCAGUGAGGAAUAUUGGACAAUGGGCGCAAGCCUGAUCCAGCCAUGCCGCGUGCAGGAUGAAGCAUCUAUGGUGUGUAAACUGCUUUUGUACGGGAAGAAACCCUGGCUCGUGAGCCAGAUUGACGGUACCGUAAGAAUAAGGAUCGGCUAACUCCGUGCCAGCAGCCGCGGUAAUACGGAGGAUCCAAGCGUUAUCCGGAAUCAUUGGGUUUAAAGGGUCCGUAGGCGGCCCAGUAAGUCAGUGGUGAAAUCUCCCGGCUCAACCGGGAAAUUGCCCUUGAUACUGCUGGGCUUGAAUUACCAGGAAGUAACUAGAAUAUGUAGUGUAGCGGUGAAAUGCUUAGAGAUUACAUGGAAUACCAAUUGCGAAGGCAGGUUACUACUGGCGGAUUGACGCUGAUGGACGAAAGCGUGGGUAGCGAACAGGAUUAGAUACCCUGGUAGUCCACGCCGUAAACGAUGGAUACUAGCUGUUGGGGCAACCUCAGUGGCUAAGCGAAAGUGAUAAGUAUCCCACCUGGGGAGUACGGGCGCAAGCCUGAAACUCAAGGAAUUGACGGGGG